GAUGAACGCUAGCGACAGGCCUAACACAUGCAAGUCGAGGGGCAGCAUAAAGGUAGCAAUACUUUGGUGGCGACCGGCGCACGGGUGAGUAACACGUAUGCAACCUACCUGUAAGAGGGGAAUAACCCGGAGAAAUUCGGACUAAUACCGCAUAAUACCUCGGAGCUGCAUGGCUUUGAGGUUAAAUAUUUAGAGCUUACAGUGGGGCAUGCGUAUGAUUAGCUAGUUGGUGAGGGAACGGCUAACCAAGGCAACGAUCAUUAGGGGUUCUGAGAGGAAGGUCACCCACAUUGGAACUGAGACACGGUCCAAACUCCUAAGGGAGGCAGCAGUGAGGAAUAUUGGUCAAUGGGCGAGAGCCUGAACCAGCCAAGUCGCGUGAAGGAAGAAGGUUCUAUGGAUUGUAAACUUCUUUUGUAAGGGAAUAAAGUUCACCACGUGUGGUGUUUUGUAUGUACUUUACGAAUAAGGAUCGGCUAACUCCGUGCCAGCCGCCGCAGUAAGAC
rnacentral:rRNA from 1 species